rnacentral:rRNA from 1 species
AGAGUUUGAUCAUGGCUCAGGAUGAACGCAGGCGGCGUGCUUAACACAUGCAAGUCGAACGCGAAAGCCCGCAAGGGUGAGUAGAGUGGCGCACGGGUGAGUAACACGUAAGCAAUCUGCCCUUGAGUGGGGGACAACGUUCCGAAAGGAGCGCUAAUACCGCAUAACCCGGUAGGGACCCAGGUCCCGGCCGGCAAAGAUGGCCUCUGCUUGCUUGCUAUCGCUUAAGGAGGAGCUUGCGUCCCAUUAGGUAGUUGGUGAGGUAACGGCUCACCAAGCCCGCGAUGGGUAGCCGGCCUGAGAGGGUAACCGGCCACACUGGCACUGAGACACGGGCCAGACUCCUACGGGAGGCAGCAGUGAGGAAUUUUGGGCAAUGGGCGAAAGCCUGACCCAGCGACGCCGCGUGGGUGAUGAAGGCCUUCGGGUCGUAAA